rnacentral:tRNA from 1 species
GCUAAUAAAGCCAAAACUGCGGCAUUGGUCUUGUAAGCCAAAGAUUGAAUUUUAUUCUAUUAGCU